GUGUGUUAGUGUGGAUCGAUCAAAGCAAGGGCCAAGAAGACCAAACCCUAACUUCACAAAUUCUCCAAAAUCAGAAGGAAAUUUAGUGUUCUAGUGGAUGCAUGAACCCUAAUUCGAGUAAUCUAAGUUUGUUCAACCCUUGGUGUUAAGGAAGAGAGUUCAAGUCAAGCGAAACAACAAGGGAAUCAAGACCGAGGUAAAUCUCAUGUCUGGCUAUCAAGCUUUGCCCGGUUCGAACACGCCUCAAGCCCGUCAAGUGUUCCGCAUUUUGUAAAAAUCAAUGUUUAAUACUUUGUCACUUAUGUCUACGUCUAGUAGUUAAACCUAGUUUCUAUUAUGUUUGUCUUUUGGAAAAACUUGUCGUAAGUACGUACAUAAACUUAAUGGUUUUGUAAGUAAAAACAUGGUAUGUUUUGA